rnacentral:rRNA from 1 species
AACGAACGCUGGCGGCAGGCCUAACACAUGCAAGUCGAGCGAGGACUUCGGUCCUAGCGGCGGACGGGUGAGUAACGCGUGGGAACGUGCCCUUUGCUUCGGAAUAGCCCUGGGAAACUGGGAGUAAUACCGGAUGAGCCCUUUGGGGGAAAGAUUUAUCGGCGAAGGAUCGGCCCGCGUUGGAUUAGGUAGUUGGUGGGGUAAUGGCCUACCAAGCCGACGAUCCAUAGCUGGUUUGAGAGGAUGAUCAGCCACACUGGGACUGAGACACGGCCCAGACUCCUACGGGAGGCAGCAGUGGGGCAUCUUAGACAAUGGGGGAAACCCUGAUCUAGCCAUGCUGCGUGAGCGAUGAAGGCCUUAGGGUUGUAAAGCUCUUUCAGCUGGGAAGAUAAUGACGGUACCAGCAGAAGAAGCCCCGGCUAACUCCGUG